AAUAGGCUAAUUAAGAGCGUAAGGGGAAUGCCUUGGCUCUCAGAGGCGAAGAAGGACGUGAUAAGCUGCGAAAAGUUGCGGGGAGUGGCACAUACAUUUUGAUCCGCAAAUGUCCGAAUGGGGAAACCCGGUUAUUUGAAGAAUAAUCAUCCAUUUAUGGAAGCUAACCCGGAGAACUGAAACAUCUAAGUACCCGGAGGAAAAGAAAACAAUAGUGAUUCCGCUAGUAGUGGCGAGCGAACGCGGAAUAGCCCAAACCUAAAUUGUUUAGCAAUUUAGGGGUUGUAGGACCACAAUAUUUGUUGCUCAAUGAAUUAGAAUCCGUUGGAAAUCGGAACCAUAGAGGGUGAUAGUCCCGUACAAGUAAAGAGAGUUAACAAUAGUGGUAUCCUGA
rnacentral:rRNA from 1 species